CCCCGCGGCGCCCAUGGCGGCGGAGCCUCAGCCCAGGGCGCUGACUCGCAAGCCCCUCCUGCUCAACAAAGUGGAGGGCUCGCAGGAGGUGGUGAACAUGGCAGCGAUAGUGCCCAAGGAGGACGGGGUCAUCAGCGUCUCCGAGGACAGAACAGUUCGUGUCUGGCUGAAGAGAGACAGUGGACAGUACUGGCCCAGCAUAUACCAUGCAAUGCCAUCUCCAUGUUCAUGCAUGUCUUUUAACCCGGAAACCAGAAGGCUGUCCAUAGGUCUAGACAAUGGUACAAUCUCAGAAUUCAUUUUAUCAGAAGAUUACAACAAGAUGACACUAGUGAAAAGUUACCAGGCUCAUCAAAGCAGGGUCAUAAUGAUUCUGUUUGUCCUGGAGAUGGAGUGGGUGUUGAGCACCGGACAAGACAAACACUUCACGUGGCACUGUUCGGAGAGCGGGCAGCGGCUGGGAGGGUACCGCACCAGCGCAGGCGCCUGUGGCCUGCAAUUUGAUGUGGAAACCCGGCACGUGUUUGUGGGUGAUCAUUCAGGGCAAGUGACCAUACUCAAACUAGAGCAAGAGUCCUGCAGCCUUGUUACAACAUUUAAGGGACACACAGGUGGUGUCACUGCUCUCUGUUGGGACCCAAUACAGCGAGUUUUAUUUUCGGGCAGUUCUGAUCAUUCCAUUAUAAUGUGGGAUAUUGGAGGAAGAAAAGGAACAGCUAUUGAACUGCAAGGACAUAAUGAUAAAGUUCAGUCUCUCUCCUAUGCUCACCACACUCGGCAGCUCAUCUCCUGUGGUGCAGAUGGUGGAAUCGUUGUCUGGAACAUGGAUGUGGAGAGGCAGGAGACUCCAGAGUGGCUGGAUAGUGACUCCUGUCAGAAAUGUGACCAGCCUUUCUUCUGGAACUUCAAGCAAAUGUGGGACAGUAAGAAAAUAGGCCUCAGGCAGCAUCACUGCCGGAAGUGUGGGAAAGCCGUGUGUGGCAAAUGCAGCUCCAAGCGCUCCUCCAUCCCACUGAUGGGGUUUGAGUUUGAAGUGAGAGUCUGCGAUAGCUGUCAUGAAUCCAUAACGGAUGAAGAACGGGCGCCCACAGCUACUUUCCAUGACAGUAAGCACAACAUUGUUCACGUACACUUUGAUGCCACCAGGGGAUGGCUGUUGACCUCAGGGACAGACAAGGUUAUUAAGUUGUGGGAUAUGACACCAGUAGUGUCUUGAUGGUACAUCAGUGGAACUUGAAACGGUGAUAUUUAUGGAAGAAACAGAUAUCCUAACGCUAAUCAUACUGCAGAAGAUAGACAACGCUGGGCUCGUACAGCAGAUGAGAAAGGAACCAAUGUGUUUACAAUGAUUUUACGUCCUCUGCUUGAUCAAGGCUGAACAUUUGCACGAAGACUCUUUCCACUUAUUCUCAAAAUAUACAAGAAGCUAGGUGCUUGUUUCCUCUUGGAAGGCUUUUCAUUACACCUGUGCAUGUUUUCUGAUGACUGAAGUGUACUUGGCUGACGAAGCUAUGCAAGAUGAGCAAGUUGCCUGCCAAUAUUUCACUUCAGCUGAAGAAGAUGUAUAAAACUUUGCUGGACUAUGGUGUGCCACGUUACCUUGUGCUCAGGGCCUUUUGGUCAAAGACCUGACUUGCUUUGCUGUGCAGAGAGUAUCUCUAACAGUGGCAGAAACAUGGGAGCACCAAAGUGAACUUAAAUCACCGUUGCAACAAGCCUGGGACUCCAGCAUGAAUUGUGCCUAUACUGAUGGAGCAGUGGAGUCAGCAAGCUGAGGAUCUGCUCCUGGAUCAAGACCUAGUCCUUUUGAACGUGUAACGAUCAAACAAAGGUGAGGAACUGUCUCCACAGGAGACUAAAUUUGGGAGCAAGGUGUGUUUGGACGGCUCUGCAGUAAACUUUUGGCCAGCCCCCCUUCUCUUCCAAGGAGUUGUGGUUUCAGUGUUGCUUCUGAGUGGAUGUUAGGCAUACAAAUACGUUUUGCAAAAUUUCCCUUGCUGUUCUUUCUGACUAAAUUACCUGCAGGGUUUUCUGAAUUUAAGAUGAACAUCCCCUUAUUUUGCUGUCUCAGGACAAACUGGUCUUGGCUUAGAAAAUUAUAUAAGCUUAAAGUGAAGCUGAGGGGGAAAGGGAAGUUUGUCCCUUUGUUAUGACCUUAAGAGCGAUAAUGUAGAGAUAUGAAGGGAAAAUAGAUGUGUCUAAUUCAAACAAUAAUUCCUUUACCUCGCAAAUGAAACAAGGAUUUGAUGUUGAGAGAGUUAAAACACCUGCCUUCCUGUUCUGCCAUGUUAAGGUAACAAUCUCAGUUUCUUCUGUCUUCUAGAUCUGCACAGAAAGGGAUUCCUGUUGCCUGAUCCUUUUCUUUCCAUUUUAGUUGCUUAACAAAUCUAAGCUAUUUUUAUAAAUUGCAUUAUUUGGGGGGUAGGGUAUAUCUUUUGGUACAGAUGGAAACUAUGCAGCACCCCCACACGCACACCCACACACACUCAAGUGGAGCAAAGUCCCUUUCUCCCCAGGGCUGAUGAAGUGCAGCAGCAGGCUUUUAGUGGUAUCUCCUGCUGUGCCAAGGGGCAUACAAACAAUGUUGGCCUUUCUCUGCUCUUCACUUCAGAAAAAUUGAUUUUCAUUUCUCUCUUAGAUGGUGUUUCCUUGGGGGAGGAAGCAAUGUUCUUCAGAGCAUCUAUCUGCUAUUCUUGGCUUUAAAAUGAACAGUAUCUGUAGAACUUAGGCAGGUGAUGGGGCAGGCACUGGUCACAUAUGCAGUGCCUGAGCAGCUGACUUGAGCCAUUUGCGUUCCAGGUGGCUGAAGGAGGAUCAACCUGAGCCCCAAACUUCAGUAUUUUUAAGCUGAAAAUACUUAAGCAAAAGGAAAAGUAUCUGGGCAAUUGCUUGCAACGAUAGCACUGAUGGUCCUUCCGUCUGCAGGAGACUAACACCAUGGUUAGAGAUGGUUGAAACAGAGUAGUGCAUAGAGCUAAAAGUCAGCCAGUGUGAUGGAGCAUAGUCCCAAAUGAUGACAUUAGCGUGCUUGACUGUCAGCUGUAGACAAGAGUGCUACUCUUCACAGUGAAGCCCAGCUGACUGCCCCACCUCAUCCUCUUGAACUUGAGGCCAUGACCUGAAUGUCAGCACGUUGACUCUUAGCACAUCAAAAGUGAUAGCUGCACUUCGCCUGAGAGGGUGGCAUGAGUGUCUCCAGUACUGGGAAGAGAAAGGAGGGAUGCGUUCCCUCUGCAAAGGGUUGGUUGCUGAUAAGAAGGUGGAUGGCUGGAUGCACAAAAGGAUUGUGCGUGAUCCAAAAAAGAUGUAAGGGGAGAAAAAGGUUGCUUUAUGCCUGCUGAGGAAAUCACUGUUAGAGAGGAAUAUGCAGCCUUUUUUUCCCAACUGUGUCCAGUGCUGGGAUCCCCAGUACAAGAGAGAGAUGAACCUACUGGAUAAAAUCCAGCAAAGGACCAUGAAGAUGACAAAGGUACUGGAGCAUCUCUCCUAUGAGGAAAGGCUGAGAGAGCUGGGAGUGUUCAUCCCAGAGAAAAGGCGGCUCAGGGGGGAUCUCCUCAAUGUAUAUAAAUACCUGAGGGGAGGGUGCAGAGAGAAUGGAGCCAGGCUCUUUCCAGUGGUGCCCAGUGUCAGGACCAGAGGCAAUGGGCACAAAGCUG